rnacentral:rRNA from 1 species
ACGCUGGCGGCAUGCUUUACACAUGCAAGUCGAACGGCAGCGCGGGGCAACCUGGCGGCGAGUGGCGAACGGGUGAGUAAUAUAUCGGAACGUACCCAAGAGUGGGGGAUAACGUAGCGAAAGUUACGCUAAUACCGCAUACGAUCUAAGGAUGAAAGCAGGGGAUCUUCGGACCUUGUGCUCCUGGAGCGGCCGAUAUCUGAUUAGCUAGUUGGUGAGGUAAAGGCUCACCAAGGCCACGAUCAGUAGCUGGUCUGAGAGGACGACCAGCCACACUGGAACUGAGACACGGUCCAGACUCCUACGGGAGGCAGCAGUGGGGAAUUUUGGACAAUGGGCGAAAGCCUGAUCCAGCAAUGCCGCGUGAGUGAAGAAGGCCUUCGGGUUGUAAAGCUCUUUUGUCAGGGAAGAAACGGUUUGGGCUAAUAUCCUGAGCUAAUGACGGUACCUGAAGAAUAAGCACCGGCUAACUACGUGCCAGCAGCCGCGGUAAUACGUAGGGUGCAAGCGUUAAUCGGAAUUACUGGGCGUAAAGCGUGCGCAGGCGGUUUUGUAAGUCUGACGUGAAAUCCCCGGGCUCAACCUGGGAAUUGCGUUGGAGACUGCAAGGCUAGAAUCUGGCAGAGGGGGGUAGAAUUCCACGUGUAGCAGUGAAAUGCGUAGAGAUGUGGAGGAACACCGAUGGCGAAGGCAGCCCCCUGGGUCAAGAUUGACGCUCAUGCACGAAAGCGUGGGGAGCAAAC